UAGCCUUGCCCUUCUGAUUUUGGAUAUCCUGCUGUUUCUCAUCGAGCUGUUCAUCAUCUCAUUCAGGGUUGAAGAUUCUGUGAAGAUUUCAGAUAAAAAUGAACUUCAAAUGGAUCUGGCUGCUGGCACUUAUCCUGAUCGUAGGACUGGCUAGUGUGGCAGAUGCCAGGCGUGGACGGGGAGGUGGACGAGGCCGCCGAGGUGGCUUUCGACGAGGCUUUCGACGAGGUUGGCGCUGGGGCCGCCGCGGGGGCCGAGGCUGAGGAGCAAAGUAGAACGAAAUGAAGGCACAGACCAGGAACGUCUGACAACGGCAUCCCUCCAAGACAAAAA